CUUGGGGUCAAUUCAAAAGGAUUUAUAUGCAAAUUUGAGUGUUUAAGAUCAAAUUCAGAACAACGACAAAGUUAGAAGAUGAGAUGUACAAAUAAGUAAAAGUUGACCAUUGUUGCUCUUCAAUUAAGCUUUGGAACUGCAACAAAAAGGAGCUUUGAUGGUACUUUGUAGACAAAAGUCUUCAUUUUCUCUGUAUUGUCCUAUUUAUUUUUAAACUCAUCUCUGAUAUAUCUUCAUCUGCUUCUGAAUCAUUAAUUCCUCUCACGCGAAUCAUUCGACCAUCCAGCUCAUCAUCUUCUUCUUCUAUGCAUCUUCAUACGUUUCUUCGUUCUCUUUGUCAUCUACGAGAUCUAAUUCAUCGAUGGAGAAGGAUUUUGCCAUGAGUGAGGCAAUAGAAAGAAAAUGAAGCAUUUUUGAAUAAAAUGAUUGAAAACCAGACUUAUUACGUAUAAUUGAUUGAGAGAAUAAAGUGAAG
rnacentral:lncRNA from 1 species